CCUACGGGAGGCAGCAGUAGGGAAUCUUCCGCAAUGGACGAAAGUCUGACGGAGCAACGCCGCGUGAACGAUGAAGGCCUUCGGGUCGUAAAGUUCUGUUGUUAGGGAAGAACAAGUGCUAGUUGAAUAAGCUGGCACCUUGACGGUACCUAACCAGAAAGCCACGGCUAACUACGUGCCAGCAGCCGCGGUAAUACGUAGGUGGCAAGCGUUGUCCGGAAUUAUUGGGCGUAAAGCGCGCGCAGGCGGUUUCUUAAGUCUGAUGUGAAAGCCCCCGGCUCAACCGGGGAGGGUCAUUGGAAACUGGGAAACUUGAGUGCAGAAGAGGAAAGUGGAAUUCCAAGUGUAGCGGUGAAAUGCGUAGAGAUUUGGAGGAACACCAGUGGCGAAGGCGACUUUCUGGUCUGUAACUGACGCUGAGGCGCGAAAGCGUGGGGAGCAAACAGGAUUAGAUACCCUGGUAGUCCACGCUGUAAACGAUGAGUGCUAAGUGUUAGAGGGUUUCCGCCCUUUAGUGCUGAAGUUAACGCAUUAAGCACUCCGCCUGGGGAUACGGUCGCAAGACUGAAACUCAAAGGAAUUGACGGCUGNGAGNGCGAGACGACGACGAGGGAGAGG
rnacentral:rRNA from 1 species